CACCGCGCUGGUCGGACUUGGUUUAACGACAGCGGCGCGGGAAGAGCGGGGGACUGUGGGAUAGGUCUGAAACACCCCGAUGCGGCGGCGAAGGCAGCACCGCAGACCGAAAAGGCUACCGGGU
rnacentral:sRNA from 12 species